AUUGAACGCUGGCGGCAGGCCUAACACAUGCAAGUCGAACGAGUGGCGGACGGGUGAGUAAUGUCUGGGAAACUGCCUGAUGGAGGGGGAUAACUACUGGAAACGGUAGCUAAUACCGCAUACCAUCAGAUGUGCCCAGAUGGGAUUAGCUAGUUGGUGGGGUAACGGCUCACCAAGGCGAAGAUCCCUAGCUGGUCUGAGAGGAUGACCCGCCAAAAUGGAAACUAGGACCCGUCCCGAACCCUAAGGGAGGCAGCAGGGGGGAAAAUUGCACAAAGGGGGGAAGCCCUAUGCAGCCCUGGCGGGGGGUAGAAGAAGGGCCUUGGGUUGUAAAGUAACUUUAGGCGGGAGGCGUUCCCGCAGAAGAAGCACCGGCUAACUCCGUGCCAGCAGCCGCGGUAAUAC
rnacentral:rRNA from 1 species